rnacentral:rRNA from 1 species
CCGGUAGAGAUAUCGGUUCCCUUGUGGCCUGUGUGCAGGUGGUGCAUGGCUGUCGUCAGCUCGUGUCGUGAGAUGUUGGGUUAAGUCCCGCAACGAGCGCAACCCUUGUCUCAUGUUGCCAGCGCGUWAUGGCGGGGACUCGUGAGAGACUGCCGGGGUCAACUCGGAGGAAGGUGGGGAUGACGUCAAGUCAUCAUGCCCCUUAUGUCCAGGGCUUCACACAUGCUACAAUGGCCGGUACAAAGGGCUGCGAUGCCGUGAGGCUUAGCGAAUCCUUUAAAGCCGGUCUCAGUUCGGAUCGGGGUCUGCAACUCGACCCCGUGAAGUCGGAGUCGCUAGUAAUCGCAGAUCA